rnacentral:SRP_RNA from 1 species
GGCCCGGCCCCGCGCGGCGGAGCCCCCGCGAACCCCGCCAGGCCCGGGAGGGAGCAACGGUAGCGGGAAGGCCCGGGCGUUGCGGCAAGCUGGGCCUUU